rnacentral:rRNA from 1 species
GUAGGUGAAGUGGUCUGGAAAGGCCAGCCGAAGAAGGUAACAGCCCUGUAGCUGAAACUUCGUUCCCUCCAGAGUGGAUCCUGAGUACGGCGGGACACGUGAAACCCCGUCGGAAUCCGGGAGGACCAUCUCCCAAGGCUAAAUACUCCCUAGUGACCGAUAGUGAACCAGUACCGUGAGGGAAAGGUGAAAAGCACCCCGGAAGGGGAGUGAAACAGAUCCUGAAACCGUGUGCCUACAAGUAGUCGGAGCCCAUUAACGGGUGACGGCGUGCCUUUUGUAGAAUGAACCGGCGAGUUACGAUCCCGUGCAAGGUUAAGUUGAAUAGACGGAGCCGCAGCGAAAGCGAGUCUGAAUAGGGCGACAUAGUACGUGGUCGUAGACCCGAAACCGUGUGAUCUACCCAUGUCCAGGGUGAAGUUCAGGUAACACUGAAUGGAGGCCCGAACCCACGCACGUUGAAAAGUGCGGGGAUGAGGUGUGGGUAGGGGUGAAAUGCCAAUCGAACACGGAGAUAGCUGGUUCUCCCCGAAAUAGCUUUAGGGCUAGCCUCGCGGCAAGAUUCCUGGAGGUAGAGCACUGAUUGGACUAGGGGCCCCCACAGGGUUACCGAAUUCAGUCAAACUCCGAAUGCCAGAGAAUUAUCCGCGGGAGUCAGACUGCGAGUGAUAAGAUCCGUAGUCAAAAGGGAAACAGCCCAGACCAUCAGCUAAGGUCCCAAAGUAUACGUUAAGUGGCAAAGGAUGUGGAGUUGCCCAGACAACCAGGAUGUUGGCUUAGAAGCAGCCACCAUUUAAAGAGUGCGUAAUAGCUCACUGGUCGAGUGACUCUGCGCCGAAAAUGUAACGGGGCUAAACGUAUCACCGAAGCUAUGGCUUGUACCGUAUGGUACAGGGGUAGGGGAGCGUUCGAAGUGCAGCGAAGUCAGACCGGAAGGACUGGUGGAGCGCUUUGAAGUGAGAAUGCCGGUAUGAGUAGCGAAAGACAAGUGAGAAUCUUGUCCAUCGAAAGCCUAAGGUUUCCUGAGGAAGGCUCGUCCGCUCAGGGUUAGUCGGGGCCUAAGCCGAGGCUGAAAAGCGUAGGCGAUGGAUAACAGGUUGAUAUUCCUGUACCACCUCCUUUCCGUUUGAACAAUGGGGGGACGCAGUAAGGUAGGGUGAGCGCACUGAUGGAAUAGUGCGUCUAAGCAGUUAGGCUGUUGGAUAGGCAAAUCCGUCCAACGUGAAGGCUGAGCUGUGAUGGCGAGGGAAAUUUAGUACCGAAGUCCCUGAUCCUACACUGCCAAGAAAAGCCUCUAGUGAGGAAAGAGGUGCCCGUACCGCAAACCGACACAGGUAGGCGAGGAGAGAAUCCUAAGAUGAUCGGGAGAACUCUCGUUAAGGAACUCGGCAAAAUGACCCCGUAACUUCGGGAGAAGGGGUGCUCUGAUAGGGUUUAUCGCCCGAGAGAGCCGCAGUGAAUAGAUCCAAGCGACUGUUUAGCAAAAACACAGGUCUCUGCGAAACCGCAAGGUGAAGUAUAGGGGCUGACACCUGCCCGGUGCUGGAAGGUUAAGAGGAGGGGUUAUCCUU